ensembl:lncRNA
AAAAUGAGGGCAGAGAAGGAAUGUUUACUGAGUACCUACUGCCAGCCAGACCAUACCAGUACUUUUACAUUGAUUUAAAAUUUAAUCCUCACAAAAGCAGAUACUAUUAUUGUGAAAAAAUAGAUUAUAGAAAAGAAGCUACUUUUGAAGUAAAGAUUGAUUUAGUCCUACAGGAAAAUAAUGACACAUGCAUCAUAAUACACAGCCUGCUCUUCUGCUUCAGAUCCGAGAGGGGCUACCUACCAUAUCUCGGCUAAAAGCAAAAUGGAUUACAAUCUUUUUAUCCUAACUAUCCUCCAGAAGCUUGCCUGAAUCUCUUUGUCUCUAUUCAAAAAGGAAAGUAUGUACUCCGUAAAACCAGUUCCCCAACAUCCACAAUAAUGUCAAUAAGACCAACUACUCAAGUUAAAGGACAAGUAAACAGACAAAAAAAAAAAUUCCCAUAAUGAAAAAACCAGAAGUAGAAAGAGAAAACAAGAGAACUUAGAGGACCUGAGAUCUUCAACACGUGAUCUGAGAACACCAGCACCCGAAACACAUUUUUCUUAUUUAAAGUUCUCUUUUCUGGUCUCCACGUUAAUAUUACUGGAUCAGAAUUUCUGGAAUGAGGCCCAGACUAUACAUUUUUACCCAAAUUGUCCAGGUGCUUCUUAUGCAUACCAAAGUUUGAGAAACACUGCUUUUGAUAAUCUCCAUCAAUAGUUGCCUCUUUCCCUAACAGAUCCAGAAACUUCCCCUUAACUGGCUCUGAAAUUUGGCUCCUAUUCCUCAAUAUCAUCUACAAAUUUCACUUAGAGGUUACUUAUAACCCCCUAAAUGGCCUUUUCCCAGUACCUAUCCUUCCUGACGUCUUUGUAGCAUAAAAGAAUAGUCAUGUCAUAAAGCAUUGAACUUGUGAACCUUCAGUUAUGCUCACUUGGCCAAAGACAAAGGAAAGAAAAUGACAACAUAAGCAGAUGAUUUAUGUACCAUUCCAGUCAAUGACCUCUGCUUCAAACAGGCAUCAGAUGGGAUACUUGAACCCACCACCAUCCAGUAGGUCUCUCAUACUGUGAGCUACUAGCUCACUGAGUGUGAGUCCAGUGUUGAAAACUCUGUGUUUUACAUUCAACAUGAUCCCUACAUAAAAUUCAAUUAUGUCUUAUGGAUUGGGGAAGGAAGGAAGGAAGGAGAGAAGGAAAGAAGGAAGGAAAGAAGUAUGCAAUCCAAUUUGGGGAAGAAAAUAAAACUUGUG